AAAAUCCUCGAACACGACUUCCAUACUUGGCAGCCCGAUAAUGAUGUUGUGAUUUUCUCGUACAACUCUCCAUUCUCCAUCUAUAAAAGGCUGCUCACCCUCCAUCAUAAAGGAGUAAUUGCUCUCUCUCUCUCAUCCAGUUAUAACCUCAUUAUUUUACUAUGCUCUGUCUAGCUUAUCCAUCUUGGUCUCAUCUCCACACUAGAGGGGUUUGUAGC
rnacentral:lncRNA from 1 species